rnacentral:rRNA from 1 species
UGAAUACGAGACGCUAAGGCGUCGAAGUAGUGUAUGUCAUACUUCCAAGAAAAGCUUGCACUGUCAUAGAUAAAAAACGCCUGUACCAUAACCGACACAGGUGGGUAGGUAGAGUAUACUAAGGGGCGCGAGAUAACUCUCUCUAAGGAACUCGGCAAAAUAACUCCGUAACUUCGGGAGAAGGAGUGCCUUAUUCGUAAGGUUGCAAUAACAAGAUCCAAGCAACUGUUUAUCAAAAACACAGGUCUCCGCUAAGUCGUAAGACGAUGUAUGGGGGCUGACGCCUGCCCAGUGCUAGAAGGUUAAAGAAGUUGGUUAGCAAUUGCGAAGCUGAUAACUGAAGCCCUGGUGAACGGCGGCCGUAACUAUAACGGUCCUAAGGUAGCGAAAUUCCUUGUCGGGUAAGUUCCGACCCGCACGAAAGGCGUAAUGAUUUGGAUACUGUCUCGGAGAGGGGCUCGGUGAAAUAGACUUGUCUGUGAAGAUGCGGACUACCUGCACCAGGACAGAAAGACCCUAUGAAGCUUUACUGUAACUUGAAAUUGAAAUUGGACUUUAUUCGCGCAGUAUAGGUGGGAGGCGUUGAUUAUAAUCUUGUGGGAUUAUUGGAGCCAUCAGUGAGAUACCACUCUUGUAAUGUUAGAUUUCUAACUUUGAAUCAUUAUCUGGUCAAAGAACAGUUUCAGGCGGGCAGUUUGACUGGGGCGGUCGCCUCCUAAACGGUAACGGAGGCGUACAAAGGUUUCCUCUGAACGGUUAGAAAUCGUAUCUAGAGUGUAAAGGCAUAAGGAAGCUUGACUGUGGGACCUACAAGUCGAGCAGGGACGAAAGUCGGUCUUAGUGAUCUGACGGUACUGAGUGGAAAGGCCGUCACUCAACGGAUAAAAGUUACUCUAGGAUAACAGGCUGAUCUCCCCCAAGAGUUCACAUCGACGGGGAGGUUUGGCACCUCGAUGUCGGCUCAUCGCAUCCUGGGGCGGUAGUACGUCCCAAGGGUUGGGCUGUUCGCCCAUGAAAGCGGUACGCGAGCUGGGUUCAGAACGUCGUGAGACAGUUCGGUCCAUAUCCGGUGUAGGCGUUAGAAUAUCGAGAGGAGCCUUCUUUAGUACGAGAGGACCGAGAAGGACAUACCUCUGGUGUACCAGUUAUCGUGCCAACGGUAAACGCUGGGUAGCUAUGUAUGGAGUGGAUAACCGCUGAAAGCAUCUAAGUGGGAAGCCCACCUCAAGAUAAGUAUUCCC